rnacentral:rRNA from 1 species
UACGUAGGUGGCGAGCGUUGUCCGGAUUUACUGGGCGUAAAGAGCGCGCAGGCGGUCGUACAAGUCGCGUGUGAAAGCCCCCGGCUCAACUGGGGAGGGGCACGCGAUACUGUUCGACUCGAAGGCAGGAGAGGGAAGUGGAAUUCCCGGUGUAGUGGUGAAAUGCGUAGAUAUCGGGGGGAACACCAGUGGCGAAGGCGACUUCCUGGCCUGUUCUUGACGCUGAGGCGCGAAAGCUAGGGUAGCAAACGGG